AUGAGUUCUCUUGUUUGCCUACUUGUGCUAUUAGCAUUAAUGGAUCAAUCAUUUGGUCAGUCAAUAACAGCACUGCAGAGCACAAAACAGGCUGCUGAGAGCGAAACGGUCAGUCUGUCCUGCAAAUAUGAUACUCAAGCAAACAAUUUACAGUGGUAUCGACAAUAUCCAGGAUCUACACCAGAAUAUCUGCUGCUUGUUUAUGAAUCAAACACAGUGUUUCAUGCUGAACCUCCUUUCCCAAGACUGGACGCCAGUGUGAAUAAAGUGGAGAAGCAGGUGAAUCUGACCAUCUCUUCUGCUGCAGUCACAGAUUCAGCUGUUUAUUACUGUGCUCUGCAGCCCACAGUGACAGAAAGAGCAGCUACACUGUACUAA